rnacentral:lncRNA from 1 species
UCUAUGACCCUCUCUAGCUAGAGUGAGAGAUGAGCAGUCUUAUAUGGUGAAUCAAGUUUGUAACUUAUUAGACAGGGUUUAGGACCUCUAUGUAAAACAUUGAUACUGACAUGAUAUUAUGAUCAUUGAAUAUGUGGAAUAAUUCUUAUACUUGAGAUAUUGGUUUCAUAUCCGCUACUACCGACUGAGGUGAUAAACAUGGUUACUACAGCAUGGUAGUCACCUACUUCUCUUAGGUAUAGGGCUUCAUUUCUCCUGGAAAUGUGACCAUCAUCAAUGACGCAUCAUUUCUCCUACUUUACUAUAGGGAAGUUAUGAAGCUGCUAUCUUUCAGACCCGUACAUGUAAAUCUCAAUCCAAACUUGGUCAAUAUUGUUGGUGUCGUUUUUUAGCACCAACGGGUCAACGAGAGUUCCGUUGAAAUCAUACUUGUAAAGUGGUGGGGGUAUUCUCUUGUAGCGGGUCUAUCUUCGCCCUUCGGCUAGUUUGACUAUUUCCAUGGUCUUGGCCGUCUAUCUCCGGCUGAUGCCGGGAUUCCGCGUACCACCUUGUGGUGGUCUUCCUCUUCUUGAAGGUGAGCUAGCUUCCUCUCUUUAAAGGUGAGCUAGCUUCCUCUACUUCAUUGGUGGACUUUCUCCACUCCUUUGGUGGACUUCCUUCGGCUAGUGUCGGGGUUCUGCGUACCACCUCGUGGUGGGCUUCCUCUCCUUGAGGGUGAGCUAGCUUCCUCCACUCCUUGAAAGCGAGCUAGCUUCCUCGCACCUUCUUCUUGGCGUUGGACAUCCGCCACUUGACUUGGGUCUUCUCUUCCUCAAGUUGGUGUACUUCCUCCAGCUGAUGGUCGGGGUUCCGCGUACCACCUCGUGGUGGGCUUCCUCUCUCUUGAAGGUGAGCUAGCUUCCUCUCCUUGAACGUGAGCUAGCUUCCUCUCCUUGAAGGUGAGCUAGCUUCCUCCACUCCUUGAAAGCGAACUAGCUUCCUCGCGCCUUCUUCUUGGCGUUGGACAUUUGCCACUUGACUUAGGUCUUCUCUUCCUCAAGUUGGUGGAGUGUCAUUGAAUGACCUGUUGACAUGUGAGCUAGGAGGUUAUCGGAGGACCAGCCUAAGGCUGGCCAAAUACUCUCCGACGCCUAAUUAAGUAAAGUGUUUGAACAAUAAGUAGAGAUCAGAAUAAAUAGGGCUCAAGUAUAACAUGAUUUUAUGAAAGGAGAUGAAUGAAUGUGCCUAGCAACUAUGCUUCUUGGCAUGGGAGGAGACCCUCUUCAUGUGCCUACAAAGAGAGAUGGAUAUAUAUAUAUAUAUAUAGCCCUUCUUGGCUGUGGACGUCCGCACAGAAGGUUUCGGUGCGGAUUUCUAUUUUUGCACCACUUUCUGAUCAAAUUUCCUCAUCUCCACCGUCUAGUAUCUAGAUAAUAUUGUGUAGAUCAUCUCUGCAAAAUUUCAGCCAAUUUGGUGAUCGUUAAGACCCUCAAACUCGAGUUUUUCUGAUAUGAACACAACCAGACAGAAUUCAGUCCGUCCAUUUGUUUUUCGAGUUUGAGGACCUUAAUGAUUACCAAAUUAGCUGAAAUUUUGCAGAGAUGAUCUACGCAAUAUUAUCUAGAUACUAGACGGUGGAGAUGAGAAAAUUCGAUCGAAAUAUGGUGCAAAAAUGGAAAACCGCACCAAAACUUUGGUGCAGACGUCCGCACCUAAGAAUUCCUGUAUAUAUACAUAUGUAUAUAUAUAUGUAAGUAUAUACACAUACAUAGAGAGAGAGACAGAGAGAGAGAGAGAGAGAGUGUGUGUGUGUUGUUGUAAUUGAGGAAAAAGAGAGAAGAAUGGAAUUGUGUCUAUGCCUUCAGCCUUGGGAAGGCUUGAUAUUUAUAGGAAGAGAGGUUGGUGAUGUGGAAAGAAAGAGCAUGGGCUCAGCAUGGCUCUUCCCCAAAUGAGGGUGUCAGCCUUGCUUUCUGACAUUCCAAGAUGGGUUUGGUAGAGUUGGUAACACGUGUCGACACUAUGUGGUCUCUUCUUAUUAAAUUAAUUUUUGGCCAUGCCUUCGUGACACGUGAGGAAGGUGGGUGACAGGUAAACCAUUAGCUGACAUGUCUCUAUGCGACUCUUGGACGUCCAAGAGAGAGUUUGAAGGUUGAGGCUCUUAAGCCUUGAAGGUCGAACUCUUGGUCUUGGACGUCGAAGUAUCGACCUUGAAGGUUGAGGUUCUUAAGCCUUGAAGGUCGAACUCCUGGUCUUAGAGGUCGAAGUAUCGACCUUGGAGGUUGAGGCUCUAGACCCAUUUAGACUAUACUUCUCUAAUGAUUCGCUCACAAUAUGCUCUAAUCUUACCACACUAGCUAGAAGGUGAGGUAACCACUUGGUGGCAUGCCAAGACACUUGGUGAUAGUCCAAGAAAGACUUUGGAUGCUAGGUUGGGCAUCUCACUAUUAUUUACGUGUGAGGAUCAUCUUUAUUUCUCGAAUAAUGGUUUGGGUGCUUUGAAAGGUUAGAGUCAUACGUGGAUCUUUGAUAUUUCAACGCUUCCUACGUGGAAUGGGUUGAAAAGUCAAGUUUCGUUGUCAAACCAAAUUAUGACACCAACAAGCCCCCAGUUCCCUAGACAUCCAAGGCCUUUGUUGGAUAGGGAACUCAAUUGGAAGAAGAAUUUGGUGAACCUAAAAAAUUGAGUAAGUGGUUUUUGUUGAAAUGACAAGAGUUGAUUGCAUAUGAAAUCAAUCUUGUCGCGUCGAGGUAAGUUUUCUAGGGUGGAUGACCAUCUUAUUGCUAGCUCAAAGGUUGGGACAAUGAAGGUCCUAAGUGGGUUAUGUCGAUCAUCCUCGACUUCAAGUAAUGAUAUCCUUCAUUGGUGAAGUAGUUCUUCAAAGGAGACUAAAUCCUUGGUGAGUGUCUCGAAUAGAUAAAGAGUUGCACCAUUGUUAAAGGGUGAGCAAGGAUUAAACUUCUUCGUUUUUGUUUCCCUUUGAGUUCUAAAUAUUGACUCUAAUUUUGCAUCUAAGAGCACUAUCCCUACUCUUGCUAAUUCCGCUAAACGAUUAGCAUGAAGUAUAAGGGAAUGUAUGACCUCUAGCUAUUGUUCGGUCUAAAAUACUCACUAUUCGCUUUGGUGAGUGGGUGUCCAAGAGCUGUGAACGCUCUUCAUAAUCCCUAAGACUCACUCAGCUGGUAUGUCAAGUGAGUUGGACCUCGAGGGCACCCUUGAGGAUUGGUCUCAGAGAGACUCUUUUUCUGGUAGCUUAAGUAGGUUACCUUGUGUGCACUCUGUGAAUUGGUCUCGGCUAGCGAGGCUCUUUCAUCUGGUGGCUCAAGUUCAUGAGUGUUGGAUGAUCAAGGGUGUCUAUUAUACAAGCUACUAACUAGUACUACUUUUAUCUUGGAUGGACUUUUGCUGAGAUAGCUAUACCUUUGUGUUCCAAUAAACUUCUAGGAGUUUACGUAAUAGACUUGUGGAACUGGUACUCCAUUUGGUCCGCGUUUGGGCAUUGACACAUGUUCAUCAGUAAUGAGCUGACGUAACAAAAACUGAGUAGUCAUAUGCUUAGCAUGGGGGUCUUUGCCGAAUUGUCGAAUAGAUGGAUAUAUUUUCAUGCUAAUUCGUUUGUGCAAAUUCCGAUCUCAACAUGAUUCAUAGUAUGCAAAUAGUAGAUAGAUAUAUAGUUCUUAUAAGAUAUAACAUUGUACAAGAUAUAUAGAUAUAUAUAGGUUAAUACUUAAUAUAGUUGGGUCCCUUACUGUCACAUCCCGACUCUUAAAUUUUUACCUUAAUUACUAGCUUUGGUAUUUAAUAAGAAUUUUACCGUCUCCGUCAAUGAGGUUAUAGUUUAAUUGGUCCUUAAAAGGGUUUUGGGGGACGAUUAUUUCAGAGAAUUAUGCGUAGGAGAAAAAUGUGACGACGGUAAAAAUAAUAAAUGUUGACUAAUAAAAGGUAAUUUUUUUUUAGUGGUGUAUUAUUUUGUAGGGUUAUUUUGGAGUUGGGUUUAUAUUUUUGGUGUGGUUAUAUUGGUGUUGGACCGGUUUGGGGAGGCCCAAACCAUUUCUCUUCUUUCUCCCUUCUCCUCUUCCUUCUGACGCUAUCUCUCUCUCUCCCGCUGCCAAUUUUUCUUCUCCUCCGGCCGCCGUUGACCGGUUGAGCUAGGCCACCGUACCGGUCACUUUUGGACCGCUGUCCUUCCCUCUCUAGUCCUGGGUUGGUGACUGCCCCUCUCCCGUCGGCAUCUGCAAGUUAUCACGGCAAGGAGUCGUGGUGGUCCUUUCACCGGAACUCUCUCCUCCGGCCACCAUAGUCUAAGCUACUUGACUCAAUAGGAAGCUCUCCUCCCGUGCAUCAAUCCCUCAAAAGGUCUCACCCUCUCUUGAGCUAGGUAAGGAGAAAUAUGGAGUUGAAAAUUCUAGGGCUCAUUUCGAUUACCCUAUCUAGGCUUAGAAUUUGUGUUUGUGCUAGUUAGGAAAGUUGUAGAGGGAGUUGAGAGAAAAAUGCUGUCAAAAUUUGGUAGGCAUUGGAGGUUGCCGGAGUCGGUCUCCGGCCGCCGCCAUUGUUUAGUAGUUGGUUAUAUUAAGGGGAGUUAUUGAUGAGAAUUUUGGAAUUUUUGGAGGAGUUUUGGAUAGGUUUGGGGAUUUUUAAAGCUUAGUAAUUUUGGCGGUUAUUUAAGGUAGAAUCCGGCCGUUAGAUUAAAGUUGUAUAAUCUGUAGAAGGUUGAAUUAAAGCUGCUAGUAUAUUCGGUGAAGUUUGGACCAUAUUGAGUUAAGAAUGGUGAAGUUGGGCAAUGAUGAGUGUGUUUGAGGCUCACAUUUAAUUUUGCCUAUUUUGUGUAAGUUUUGGAUUUUUGGUUGGGAAAUUAAUUAUAUAUUUGGAACAGGACGUGAGGAGGCUCGAGCUGAAGAGGCCUGGGAGCGACAUCAGACUUAGGCCUAUUUUGUGAGUGGACUUUUGUUUUAAUUAAAAGCAUGCGAUGCAUUAUAUUGAUGAUCAUUUAUUCUUUUGCUGAGAUUUAUUGCUUUCUUGGAUAUUUGGCAAUUUUCCUCUUUUGGAAAGUUCCCGAAAAUGAGAUUUUCGGUCGAUAUGUAUAUUGGAUGUUAUGAGUAUAGCAUAUAUAUAAAUGCUAGCUAGCCAUACGUGCUUGGUCCGUCAUAAUGAGGUAAAAUUCCAUUAUGGUGUGACGUGAGUGUUAGACACAAAUGUCAUGGCCCUAUAUGAAAACUACUUUCUUAUUUGGUUCUUAUAGGUUUUCAUAUAGGGAGUCCACACGUAUAAACACCCGUUCUCUUCGGUCAUAAUGAGGAAAAAUUCCAUUGUGGCGCCACAUGAGCGUUUGACGCAAGCGUCGUAGCCUUGUAUGAAUUUCUAUUUUUCUAUUUUGUUCAUAGAAUUCGUACAAAGAGUCUGAUGAGUGUACAUACAUAUAUAUAUAUAUAUAUAUAUAUUUAUAUAUAGUUUAGCCUGAGAGGCUGUAUUUUAUUGAGUUUUGGAGACUGGCCGAAGCUAGUCAUGUAUUUGCCAGUUUAUGAAUAAAAAGCUUUGAGCUGUCGUAUGCAGCAUAUUUUUCUUUGGAAAUUAAAAUGGGAAUGCAUAAAUAUUCACUUAUUAAUUUAUUUUUAUCCACUCAUUCUAACGGUUUCAAAUGUUUUCCCCUGGGCCCUUCGUUUUAAAAUGCCCAGUCUGCAGAGUGCAGGUUGGAUCUAGUAGGAGGCGAGGCAUAGUCACCCAUUUCUCCACCACCUUUCAUCAGUAGGUUACUGUUAACCUACCAACAUAUUUUUCUUGCUUCCUCUAGUUUUAGCGGCUCUGAUUACCUGGAGGAUAAUGUAUAUUAGCUCGGUUGUGUGCUAAGUCUUGGAUUUUAAAUUUGGAAUAUUUGAAGGUUGAAGUUUGUUAUUUCUAAUUGGAUAUUUAUGUGAUGGAUUAGAAGAUGGUUUUAUUAUAUUGUUGUGGUGGUUGUAUUGUGGGGAGCGGGUGGCUCCAGGAGUUGAGGUUGGAUGUGUCAUUAUAGGAGUGUGGUUUGAAUUUUUUCAGGUUAGGGUUGUCUAUUUUUAAGGGAGGUUAUGUCGAAUUUUUCGGUAAGUUUUCCUUGGAGGUGGUCCCUGCAGGACUUACUUUGGGUUUCAGGGUGAAAUUCAGGGUGGGUCUUGACACUGACCUUCUAAGACCAACUUAUUCCUAUUGGUGCUCAAAGAACUUAUCAGUCUUGGCAUGUCGAUCAAGAAAAUCCUUAAGAAUAUGUAGGGUGCAUUGUAAUAACUAUAUUAGGUCUAUUAUUUAAUUGAGAAUAGGGUGUACCGACUGAAACGUAGCUUGCUCCUUUGAAUGUGACUCGUUGCGGAUGGUGUCGCGUGGACAUUCUCUUGGUGUAAGACUGUGGGCUGAACGCUCUUCCUUCUUCUAAGGUUGGCUCUCGUCAAUGAGUUCGACUCGGGUGGUGGUGUUCUAGCAACGCUGAAUUCCAAGAUUGUUCGUCUAGGCAUAUCAAUAUAAAUUGAUUUGGUCCUUGAUGCAUCUUGAUGUGUCAGUUGGCAGAGUGAGUGUCACCGUUGAAUUUAGACCAUGUAGAGGAUGCUCAAGGUCUUUCCACUGGUGGUGCAGAUUUUAUGGCCGUCGGGAGUCUAGCGCACAUUGGCGUUAUGAGCGAGGCCAAUCUCUUAACCAUUAGAUGAUGGUGUAUUGGAACACCAGAAUCAUGGAUGACAUCCUUCUAAAGGAAUUGUGGUUGGCGAUGGUAUGCUUAUGAGGUUGAUCGAUCACCUUGGUGGGCUGUCUUCUAAUGACUUGCAUGUCGAAGGUACAGCCAUUGCCGAGCCUUUAGGGGUCUACUCCACGCCUCGAGUUACCUCUUCAUGUCUUCAAGUGUCGAUCCUUGUUCUUUGUCAUCAGUUUCAACGACAUACUCUUGAGUUGCAUUUCCAUCAUCCUCUUAUUCCACCGUGCGGUAAGGCCUUCUUUGGUGGAAGUUGAAAUUGCCAAUGAAGGUGAAAGGUGAGGGAAACCCACGUCCCUCCCUAGAAGUGGAUUGAUCUUCAGUGGCAUGCGAGCAACAAGGCUCAAGCGUAGCGCUGUUGAUGAAGCAUCACUUGUACGCAUUCGUGCAUUGGUUGUUCGCAUUGUUAGCUACAUCUUAUCAAUGUAAGCUAAAAUCUCUCCAAUCUUUGUUUUGGUGGUGGCCAUUAACGAUAGACUUCUCGCUCCCAUAAGUGGUUCGAGGUACUUGAUACUUCAUUGAGCGGUGGUCGCAUAUCACCAUGGAAUUUGAAGUAGCCUCAUCGACUGUGUGUCUAAGGUUCAUCCAUGUCUUGGUUGGUCGUCAUAUAGUGACUUGGAUGUUGAAGACAGGGUCAUUGUAGCACCUCCAAUGGAGAUAUUCUCCAUGUCAAGUAGCAUGCUUAACAUCCAUGCAAAUUUCUUGAAAACAUCGUUUGUCAAAUCUAUAACCUUCAAUUGGAUCAUCGUCUCCCGACUUACAUUAUAGUGGUGGCGCUCUGAUGAUGAUAAUAUGAUCGUCUCCCUCUAACGAUGAUAGAUAUAAGUGAAGGUGUGCUAGUUCUGCUCAUCUGCCUUCUGGGUUUCUUCCUCGUUGGUGGCAUGUCAGGGAUGUUGAGGGAGUACACAUGACAACUCGGCGUCAAGAGUGGGUUGGCUCAUCUUCCGUUGAAUGGAGGUAUAUGGACUAAGAUUCUUGAAUAUGAAUGUCGAAUAUCCAAGCUCCAAUUAGUGCGGAAGGUGGAAAGCCAUGUUGAUUUGGCAAGCGUUAGUGGAUCUCCUUUCCUUCGCUGCUUGAAAGCGUGGUCUAAUCCUCCUUGUGCUCUUUUUCAUAACCUUGUGCUCUUUCUCAUAUUUGGGUGCAACUCAAAGUCGUAGGCAAGACAUCGAACAUUGAAGCUCUUCUUCUGCUUCUAAGGCUACUCAUAUGCAUGAUGUAACCUUCCUUCUUCAUCGAACAAGUGAGCACGCGCUAAGUGUUCAUUUUCCCACAGACGGCGCCAUUUUGUUGGUGUCGUUUUUUAGUACCAACGGGUUAACGAGAGUUCCGUUGAAAUCAUACGUGUAAAGUGGUGGGGGUAUUCUUUUGUAGCGGGUCUAUCUUCGCCCUUCGGCUAGUUUGACUAUUUCCAUGGUCUUGGUCGUCUAUCUCUGGCUGAUGCCGGAAUUCCGCGUACCACCUUGUGGUGGUCUUCCUCUCCUUGAAGGUGAGCUAGCUUCCUCUACUUCAUUAGUGAACUUUCUCCACUCCUUUGGUAGACUUUCUUCGGCUAGUGUCGGGGUUCCGCGUACCACCUCGUGGUGGGCUUCCUCUCCUUGAGGGUGAGCUAGCUUCCUCUACUCCUUGAAAGCGAGCUAGCUUCCUUGCGCCUUCUUCUUGGCGUUGGACAUCGCCACUUGAUUUGGGUCUUAUCUUCCUCAAGUUGGUGUACUUCCUCCAGCUGAUGUCAGGCUUCCACGUACCACCUCGUGGUGGGCUUCCUCUCUCUUGAAGGUGAGCUAGCUUCCUCUCCUUGAAGGUGAGCUAGCUUCCUCCACUCCUUGAAAGCGAGCUAGCUUCCUUGUGUCUUCUUCUUGGCGUUGGAUAUCUGUCACUUGACUUGGGUCUUCUCUUCCUCAAGUUGGUGGAGUGUCAUUGAAUGACCUGUUGACAUGUGAGCUAGGAGGUUAUCGGAGGACCAGCCUAAAGCCGGCCAAAUACUCUCCGACGCUUAAGUCAGUAAAGUGUUUGAACAAUAAGUAGAGAUUGGAGAAGAAUAAAUAGGACUCAAGUAUAACAUGAUUUUGUGAAAGAAGAUGAAUGAAUGUGCCUAGCAACUAUGCUUUUUGGCAUGGGAGGAGACCCUCUUCAUGUGCCUACAAAGAGAGAUGGAUAUAUAUAUAUAUAUAUAUAUGUAUAUACAGCUCUUCUCGGCUGCGGACGUCCGCACCAACGGUUUUGGUGCGGAUUUCCAUUUUUGCACCACUUUCUGAUCGAAUUUCCUCAUCUCCACCGUAUAGUAUCUAGAUAAUAUUGUGUAGAUCAUAUCUGUAAAAUUUCAGCUAAUUUGGUGAUCGUUAAGGCCCUCAAACUUGAGUUUUUCUGGUAUGAACACAACCGGAUAGAAUUCAGUCCGUCCAUUUGUUUUUCGAGUUUGAAGACCUUAACGAUCACCAAAUUGGCUGAAAUUUUGCAGAGAUGAUCUACACAAUAUUAUCUAGAUACUAGACGGUAGAGAUGAGGAAAUUCGAUCAAAAAGUGGUGCAAAAAUGGAAAUCCGCACCAAAAAAUUGGUGCGGACGUCCACAGCUGAGAAAAUCCGUAUGUAUAUAUAUAUAUGUAAGUAUAUACACAUACAUAUAUAUAUAUAUAUAUAUAGAGAGAGAGAGAGAGAGAGAGAGAGAGAGAGAGAGAGAGAGUGUGUGUGUGUGUGUGUGUGUUGUUGUUGUAAUUGAGGAAGAAGAGAGAAGAAUGGAAUUGUGUCUAUGCCUUCAGCCUUGGGAAAGCUUGAUAUUUAUAGGAAGAGAGGUUGGUGAUGUGGAAAGGAAGAGCAUGGGCUCAGCAUGGCUCUUCCCCAAAAUCAGGGUAUCAGCCUUGCUUCCUAACAUUCCAAGAUGUGUUUAGCAGAGUUGGUAACACGUGUCGACACUAUGUGGUUUCUUCUUAUCAAGUCAGUCUUGAGCCAUGCCUUUGUGACACGUGAGGAAGGUGGGUGAUGGGUAAACCAUUAGCAGACAUGUCUCUAUGCGACUCUUGGACGUCCAAAAGAGAGUUUGAAGGUUGAGGCUCUUAAGCCUUGAAGGUCGAACUCUUGGUCUUGGAGGUCGAAGUAUCGACCUUGGAGGUUGAGGCUCUAGACCCAUUUAGACUGUACUUCUCUAAUGAUUUGCUCACAAUAUGCUCUAAUCUUACCACGCUAGCUAGAAGGUGAGGUAACCACUUGGUGGCAUGCCAAGACACUUGGUGAUAGUCCAAGAAAGACUUUGGAUGCUAGGUUGGGCAUCUCACUAUUAUUUACGUGUGAGGAUCAUCUUUAUUUCUCGAAUAAUGGUUUGGGUGCGUUGAAAGGUUAGAGUCAUACGUGACUCUUUGACAUUUCAACGCUUCCUACGUGGAAUGGGUUGAAAAGUCAAGUUUCGUUGUCAAACCAAAUUAUGACACCAACAAAUAUCUCUUCGGCGGUUUCACCUGGGUGUUUGCGGCAGUGGUGUAUUCACUCAAACAGAAGUAUACAAAUUUCGAAAACCUGUAGAAGCACUCUCAUUUUCGGCAACUUGGCAGCAUUGCACAUGACUACCAGUACGUACUACUUGCGGUACAGGUUCUAAUCAACCAGUUCUUGACAUGCUGGAUCAAUGCAUUGGCAUUUCCAUGUGCAGCAUUUCCAUUUUGAGUCGAUUGCCAAAUGGUGGAAAGGUUUUAUCUUUUAUCAUGUGUUUCAACGAACAAGACCUUUGGAUUUGAUUGAUGUGUCGCAGCAUAGCCAUUUUUACUCUCAUUUUAACUAUGAACACGAGAUGCAGGAGGAAUGUCUACCAGUUAUGUUAAACAUACAUGUGGUUCAGUUGAGUAUCUAGUACAAUUUUGUUGGUUGGGUUCAGGGUGGGUUCCUGCUGAUGUUGUUUGAGUGCACCAUGUUAGUAAUUUGGUGUAGAUAAUUAAUUGCUUUUUCAAAUAUGUAUGAUGUUUCACUUGCACUGGAAUUUAACUUAAAUGGGGUGUCGGCCUCAUACUUGGUAUAUGCUUCUGAGCAAUGGUAUGCACUUGCAUUUCUGAGUUUUCAUAUCAGUUCUGAUCCUUUCUAGCUUUCUGCUAAA